AAGCACUUGUGACCAGACUUUUUCUAGGCGGAUCAUCCGGUGUUCUCACCGGUGCACUUCGCCUAGUGAAGGCCAGCAUCGGUUUCUGCGGGGGGACAAAAGCUUCGGGAAUGUGGCUCGCUUCGGUGAGUGUUAUAGCCCGUUGUAUAAUACCUCCGCGGGGACCGAGGUCCGCGCAUUGCAAGGAUGCUGGCGUAAUGGUUA
rnacentral:rRNA from 1 species